rnacentral:rRNA from 1 species
GAGUUUGAUCAUGGCUCAGAUUGAACGCUGGGCGGCAGGCCUAACACAUGCAAGUCGAACGGUAGCACAGAAGAGCUUGCCCUCCGGUGACCUAAUGGCCGGACCGGGUGAGUAAUGUCUGGGGAAACUGCCUGGAUGGGAGGGGGAUAACUACUGGAAACGGUCCGCUAAUACCGCAUAACGUCGCAAGACCAAAGAGGGGGACCUUCGGGCCUCUUGCCAUCAGAUGUGCCCAGAUGGGAUUAGCUAGUAGGUGGGGUAACGGCUCACCUAGGCGACGAUCCCUAGCUGGUCUGAGAGGAUGACCAGCCACACUGGAACUGAGACACGGUCCAGACUCCUACGGGAGGCAGCAGUGGGAAUAUUGCACAAUGGGCGCAAGCCUGAUGCA